rnacentral:lncRNA from 1 species
CGUCUCAGACCGUAUCUUCAUGAAUUUUGUUUGUGAAACUUUGUGCACAUUUAGAUACAACGUGUAUCUUCCCCUAAAAAAAGAGAUACAACACGUAUCUACAAUGGUGCAAAAAUGCAAUCCCAAAUUUCAAACAAAUCUAGAGAAAAUAAAAUAAGGCAAACCACAAAAUUCCACCCGAUCUAGACAACCUCCAAGCACCGAGCCGCAACCACCGCCGCCAACACAACAUCGUGGCUAUUCCAGCUGUCGCCAACACCAUCGGGACCGACAACACCAGCCAUCCAUACCGCCAACCACUUGUCGUUGCGAGAUCACCAGCCCGCAAAGCGCGCACAACACGAAGCAGUCAACAUAUCAUGUUGUUGUCGGCUCCGCACGGGCUUUGCUCGCGACGGCGAGAGGGAGAAGACAUUGAACGGUUGUUCGGUGGGGCAGUGAGGUUGCUGCCCGUGUCCCCCUAGGGAGAGGGUGAUGUCGGGGACUCCAUCUAAAGCUCUAUUGCCC